rnacentral:rRNA from 1 species
CCUACGGGAGGCUGCAGUGAGGAAUAUUGGUCAAUGGGCGCAGGCCUGAACCAGCCAAGUCGCGUGAGGGAAGACUGCCCUAUGGGUUGUAAACCUCUUUUAUAAGGGACGAAUAAUGACUACGUGUAGUCAGAUACCCGUACCUUAUGAAUAAGCAUCGGCUAACUCAGUGCAAGCAGCCGCGGUAAUACGGAGGAUUCGAGCGUUAGCCGGGUUUAUUGGGUUUAAGGGGUGCGUCGGGGGUAUUUUAAGUUAGUGGUAAAACGUCGGGGCUUCACCUUGAUUGGCCAGUAAAACUGGAGUACUAGAGUACAGACGAGGUAGGCGGAAUAAGUUAAGUAGCGGUGAAAUGCUUAGAUAUAACUUAGAACCCCGAUAGCGAAGGCAGCUUACCAGACUGUUACUGACGCUGAAGCACGAGAGCGUGGGUAGCGAACAGGAUUAGAUACCCGUGUAGUC